ACCUCAAGGAUCUGUUUUGGGGCCUCUUUUAUUUCUAUUAUAUAUUAAUGAUUUUUAUAAAUGCUCAGAAUUAUUUGAUUUUCAUCACUUUGCUGAUGAUUCCAAUUUAUUCUAUGAAAACGAAGAUCUAUUAGAUCUGGAAUCGAAUAUUAAUCAAGAGUUGGUCAAUAUCAAUGUCUGGCUGUGUGCUAACAAGUUGUCCCUUAACAUCGAAAAAUCAAAUUUUGUUAUUUUUCAUCCUCAUCAAAAGAAAAUUGAAAUAGAUGUAAGUCUUAGUAUUAAUGGCAGAUAUCUCAAAAAAGUUGAUUAUAUAAAAUAUCUAGGAGUUUUUAUUGAUUCCCACCUAUCCUGGAAAUAUCAGGUGGAUCAUAUUGCAAAAAAGAUCAAAAGAGGAAUCGGCAUUCUUUCUAAACUUAGACAUUUUCUAAAUAUUAAGAUUUUAGUUAAUCUGUAUUAUGCAAUAAUAUACCCAUUUUUGAUCUAUGCAUUGAUAAUUUGGGGUAACACAUAUUCAACCACACUUAAACCACUUAUUAUACUUCAAAAGAAAGCCAUGCGUGUUAUCACCUUUUCUCGCUUUGAUGAACACUCAAGUCCUCUUUUUAAGCGCCUCCAAAUCUUAAAGUUUACCCAUCUCAUUACAUUACGUAUGACCAUGUUUAUGUACAAAUAUCAUCGACAACUUUUGCCCUCGAGUUUAAAUGAUCUCUUUACUCCUGUCUAUCAAAUACAUUCAUAUAAUACUAGACUUUCAUCAAAUCUUUGUUUUUCUUUGCCGAAAAUAAGAACAAAUUUUGGAUUAUUUAAUAUUAGAUAUCAGGGAGUGAAAGCAUGGAAUGUGCUGAGUGAAGCUGAUAAACAGAUGACAUUUUUACAACUUAAGAGAAAAAUUAAAGCUGC
rnacentral:lncRNA from 1 species